UAGCCUUAGCUGAGUGGAUAACGCGAAGGCAUUUGAAGCGAAAGGUACUAGGUUCGAGUCCUAGAGUGAACA
rnacentral:tRNA from 1 species